rnacentral:rRNA from 1 species
GAUGAACGCUGGCGGCGUGCCUAAUACAUGCAAGUCGAACGAAACUUCUUUAUCACCGAGUGCUUGCACUCACCGAUAAAGAGUUGAGUGGCGAACGGGUGAGUAACACGUGGGCAACCUGCCCAAAAGAGGGGGAUAACACUUGGAAACAGGUGCUAAUACCGCAUAACCAUAGUUACCGCAUGGUAACUAUGUAAAAGGUGGCUAUACUACCGCUUUUGGAUGGGCCCGCGGCGCAUUAGCUAGUUGGUAGGGUAAAGGCUUACCAAGGCAAUGAUGCGUAGCCGAAUUGAGAGGUUGAUCGGCCACAUUGGGACUGAGACACGGCCCAAACUCCUACGGGAGGCAGCAGUAGGGAAUCUUCCACAAUGGGCGAAAGCCUGAUGGAGCAACGCCGCGUGGGUGAAGAAGGUCUUCGGAUCGUAAAACCUUGUUGUUAGAGAAGAAAGUGCGUGAGAGUAACUGUUCACGUUUCGACGGUAUCUAACCAGAAAGCCACGGCUAACUACGUG